UAAUGGCCUACCAAGACUUUGAUCGUUAGCUGGUCUGAGAGGAUGGCCAGCUAUACAUAGUAUUUGAGACACGGUCCAGACUCCUACGGGAGGCAGCAGUGGGGAAUCUUGCACAAUGGGCGAAAGCCUGAUGCAGCGACGCCUCGUGGGGGAUGAAGCUUUUCGGAGUGUAAACCCCUUUCGAUCCGGACGAAUGCCCGCGAGGGAUUGACGGUACGGAUAUAAGAAGCCCCGGCUAACUACCUGCCAGCAGCCGCGGUAAGACGUGGGGGGCCAGCGUUGUUCGGAAUUACUGGGUGUAAAGGGUUCGUAGGCGGUGCGGCAAGUUGGGAGUGAAAUCUCUGGGCUCAACCCAGCUGCUGCUUCCAAAACUGCUGUGCUUGAGUGUGAGAGAGGCUCGUGGUAAUUGCAGGUGUAGCGGUGAAAAUG
rnacentral:rRNA from 1 species